rnacentral:rRNA from 1 species
GGUUUAUGUUUCAAAUAAUUUAUUGCCGUAGGAUGGGACUGCGGCCUAUCAGUUUGUUGGUGAGGUAAUGGCCCACCAAGACUAUUACAGGUACGGGCUCUGAGAGGAGUAGCCCGGAGAUGGGUACUGAGACACGGACCCAGGCCCUAUGGGGCGCAGCAGGCGAGAAAACUUUGCAAUGUGCGAAAGCACGACAAGGUUAAUCCGAGUGGUUUCUGCUAAAGGAACCUUUUGUCAGUCCUAGAAACACUGAUGAAUAAGGGGUGGGCAAGUUCUGGUGUCAGCCGCCGCGGUAAAACCAGCACCUCAAGUGGUCAGGAUGAUUAUUGGGCCUAAAGCAUCCGUAGCCUGCUUUGUAAGUUUUCGGUUAAAUCCAUACGCUCAACGUAUGGGCUGCCGGGAAUACUGCAAAGCUAGGGAGUGGGAGAGGUAGACGGUACUCGGUAGGAAGGGGUAAAAUCCUUUGAUCUAUUGAUGACCACCUGUGGCGAAGGCGGUCUACCAGAACACGUCCGACGGUGAGGGAUGAAAGCUGGGGGAGCAAACCGGAUUAGAUACCC